AUUGAACGCUGGCGGCAGGCUUAACACAUGCAAGUCGAACGAUGAUUAUCUAGCUUGCUAGAUAUGAUUAGUGGCGGACGGGUGAGUAACAUUUAGGAAUCUGCCUAGUAGUGGGGGAUAGCUCGGGGAAACUCGAAUUAAUACCGCAUACGACCUACGGGUGAAAGGGGGCGCAAGCUCUUGCUAUUAGAUGAGCCUAAAUCAGAUUAGCUAGUUGGUGGGGUAAAGGCCCACCAAGGCGACGAUCUGUAACUGGUCUGAGAGGAUGAUCAGUCACACCGGAACUGAGACACGGUCCGGACUCCUACGGGAGGCAGCAGUGGGGAAUAUUGGACAAUGGGGGCAACCCUGAUCCAGCCAUGCCGCGUGUGUGAAGAAGGCCUUUUGGUUGUAAAGCACUUCAAGCAGGGAGGAGAGGCUAAUGGUUAAUACCCAUUAGAUUAGACGUUACCUGCAGAAUAAGCACCGGCUAACUCUGUGCCAGCAGCCGCGGUAAUACAGAGGGUGCGAGCGUUAAUCGGAAUUACUGGGCGUAAAGCGAGUGUAGGUGGCUCAUUAAGUCACAUGUGAAAUCCCCGGGCUUAACCUGGGAACUGCAUGUGGUACUGGUGGUGCUAGAAUAUGUGAGAGGGAAGUAGAAUUCCAGGUGUAGCGGUGAAAUGCGUAGAGAUCUGGAGGAAUACCGAUGGCGAAGGCAGCUUCCUGGCAUAAUAUUGACACUGAGAUUCGAAAGCGUGGGUAGCAAACAGGAUUAGAUACCCUGGUAGUCCACGCCGUAAACGAUGUCUACUAGCCGUUGGGGUCCUUGAGACUUUAGUGGCGCAGUUAACGCGAUAAGUAGACCCGCCUGGGGAGUACGGGCCGCAGGGUUAAAACUCAAAUGAAUUGACGGGGGCCCCGCACAAGCGGUGGAGCAUGUGUGUUUAAUUCGAUGCAACGCGAAGAACCUUACCUGGUCUUGACAUAGUGAGAAUCCUGCAGAGAUGCGGGAGUGCCUUCGGGAAUUCACAUACAGGUGCUGCAUGGCUGUCGUCAGCUCGUGUCGUGAGAUGUUGGGUUAAGUCCCGCAACGAGCGCAACCCUUUUCCUUAUUUGCCAGCGGGUUAAGCCGGGAACUUUAAGGAUACUGCCAGUGACAAACUGGAGGAAGGCGGGGACGACGUCAAGUCAUCAUGGCCCUUACGACCAGGGCUACACACGUGCUACAAUGGUAGGUACAGAGGGUUGCUACACAGCGAUGUGAUGCUAAUCUCAAAAAGCCUAUCGUAGUCCGGAUUGGAGUCUGCAACUCGACUCCAUGAAGUCGGAAUCGCUAGUAAUCGCAGAUCAGAAUGCUGCGGCGAAUAAAGUCCCGGGCCU
rnacentral:rRNA from 1 species